GACGUAGGGGGCGAGCGUUGUCCGGAUUUACUGGGCGUAAAGCGCGUGCAGGCGGUCUGUUAAGUCCCGUGUUAAAGCCUCCGGCCCAACCGGAGAACGCCGCGGGAUACUGGCGGGCUUGAGGUCGGUAGAGGGUGAUGGAAUUCCCGGUGUAGCGGUGAAAUGCGUAGAUAUCGGGAGGAACGCCAGUGGCGAAGGCGGUCACCUGGGCCGUACCUGACGUUGAGACGCGAAAGCUGGGGGAGCAAACGGG
rnacentral:rRNA from 1 species